AUUCCAGCUCCAAUAGCGUAUAUUAAAGUUGUUGCAGUUAAAAAGCUCGUAGUUGAAUUUCUGGGUGUGAUAGGCGGUCCGUGUGCAUAACAUGUGUACCUCCCUCUCAUGCCCAUCCUCGAAGUGAAUAUGCAUUGCCUUAACUGUGUCGUGUAUAGGACCUUCGUCAUUUACUGUGAGCAAAAUAGAGUGUUCAAAGCAGGCUUAUGCCGUUGAAUAUGUUAGCAUGGAAUAAUAAGAUAUGACUUCUGUCUAUUUUGUUGGUUUGCAUUCGGAAGUAAUGAUUAAUAGGGAUAGUUGGGGGUUUUCGUAUUCAAUUGUCAGAGGUGAAAUUCUUGGAUUUAUGGAAGACGAACUACUGCGAAAGCAUCAACCAAGGAUGUUUUCAUCA
rnacentral:rRNA from 1 species